UGGGGAAUCUUCCGCAAUGGGCGCAAGCCUGACGGAGCAACGCCGCGUGAGUGAAGAAGGCCUUCGGGUUGUAAAGCUCUGUCCAGGGGGAAGAAACAAAUGACGGUACCCCUGGAGGAAGCCCCGGCUAACUACGUGCCAGCAGCCGCGGUAAAACGUAGGGGGCGAGCGUUGUCCGGAAUUACUGGGCGUAAAGGGCGUGUAGGCGGCAAUGCAAGUCAGUCGUGAAACCCGCCGGCUCAACCGGUGGCUGGCGAUUGGAACUGCAUUACUUGAGUGCAGGAGAGGGAAGUGGAAUUCCCAGUGUAGCGGUGAAAUGCGUAGAUAUUGGGAGGAACACCAGUGGCGAAAGCGGCUUCCUGGCCUGUAACUGACGCUGAGGCGCGAAAGCGUGGGGAGCAAACA
rnacentral:rRNA from 1 species